UACGUAGGGACCAAGCGUUGUUCGGAUUUACUGGGCGUAAAGGGCGCGUAGGCGGCGUGGUAAGUCACUUGUGAAAUCUCUGAGCUUAACUCAGAACGGCCAAGUGAUACUGCUGUGCUAGAGUGCAGAAGGGGCAAUCGGAAUUCUUGGUGUAGCGGUGAAAUGCGUAGAUAUCAAGAGGAACACCUGAGGUGAAGACGGGUUGCUGGGCUGACACUGACGCUGAGGCGCGAAAGCCUGGGGAGCAAACGGG
rnacentral:rRNA from 1 species